GACGAACGCUGGCGGCGUGCUUAACACAUGCAAGUCGAACGGAAAGGCCCUGCUUUUGUGGGGUGCUCGAGUGGCGAACGGGUGAGUAACACGUGAGUAACCUGCCCUUGACUUUGGGAUAACUUCAGGAAACUGGGUCUAAUACCGGAUAUGAGCUCCUGCUGCAUGUUGGGGGUUGGAAAGUUUCGGCGGUUGGGGAUGGACUCGCGGCUUAUCAGCUUGUUGGUGGGGUAGUGGCUUACCAAGGCUUUGACGGGCAGCCGGCCUGAGAGGGUGACCGGCGACAUUGGGACUGAGAUACGGCACAGACUCCUACGGGAGGCAGCAGUGGGGAAUAUUGCACAAUGGGCGGAAGCCUGAUGCAGAAAAGCCGCGUGCGGGAUGACGGCCUUCGGAUUGUAAAACGAUUUCGCCUGUGACGAAGCGUGAGUGACGGUAAUGGGUAAAGAAGCACCGGCUAACUACGUG
rnacentral:rRNA from 1 species